UACUAGUGAAUUAAUUUAUGGGUCUGAC
rnacentral:sRNA from 1 species